AAACCCGGAAGGACCCCGCCGAAGGUUUUCUCCGGUUCGUGAGAGGGGUAGGUAGGGUUGCGAGCGAACAGAUUUGCACAGAAGUGCGUCAAGCCACCCCAGCAGGGUGGAUGUUCAGGGACACAGCUCUGAGCGAGACCUGCAGGCCGAGACACACGAGAACCUUCAAAGCAUAGGCUUUUAUACGAGUGACACCCCGGCCGACCUACUUGAACGGACACUUCUGUUUCUGUUCUUUCGCACCCUGCGCCUUAAAAGGGUCGCAAAACAUCAAAUCAGACGGAGUCCCGCUCUGUCACGCAGGCUGCCAGGCUGGCGUACAGUGGCGCAAUCUCAGCUCACUGCAACCUCCACCUCCUGGGUUCAAGCGAUUUUCUUGCCUCUGCCUCCUGAGUAGCUGGGAUUACUGGCACACACCACCAAUGCACAGGUA
rnacentral:lncRNA from 1 species